CCUACGGGAGGCAGCAGUGGGGAAUAUUGGACAAUGGGCGAAAGCCUGAUCCAGCCAUGCCGCGUGUGUGAAGAAGGCCUUCGGGUUGUAAAGCACUUUCAGUGGGGAAGAAAGCCUUGGGGCUAAUACCCUCGAGGAAGGACAUCACCCACAGAAGAAGCACCGGCUAACUCCGUGCCAGCAGCCGCGGUAAUACGGAGGGUGCGAGCGUUAAUCGGAAUUACUGGGCGUAAAGCGCGCGUAGGCGGUCUGAUAAGCCGGUUGUGAAAUCCCCGGGCUCAACCUGGGAACGGCAUCCGGAACUGUCAGGCUAGAGUGCAGGAGAGGAAGGUAGAAUUCCCGGUGUAGCGGUGAAAUGCGUAGAGAUCGGGAGGAAUACCAGUGGCGAAGGCGGCCUUCUGGACUGACACUGACGCUGAGGUGCGAAAGCGUGGGUAGCAAACAGGAUUAGAUACCCUUGUAGUC
rnacentral:rRNA from 1 species